ACUUUAUGAGUAUAGCAGUACAUCUGCCUUCCAAGCAGAAAGUUUGAUUAACUUCAAAUAAAGUA
rnacentral:tRNA from 1 species